CGGGCUGGAGGAGGAACGCGACGCCCCGUCCCGUUUCAACAGGGUUGGCGAUUGGCUGAGAAGAGGAGGCGUGUUCUCUUUGCUCCGAGAACGCUGUCAAGGACAGAGAGGGCACGGGGUUGGCAGCCCUGUCCCGGCCUGGGCCCCGCCCCCCACCUUCGCUGUGGGAGAGGGGCUGUACCCUGAUGGGGGCUCCCGUCCUUGGUUCCCUCUGAGCGUACUGCAGUUCCUGGGGGAGGCACAGAGACAGGAAUGACGGAACAGAGUGGAGAGGCUGACAAUCCUGAGUGGAGUGUGGCGCCACCUGUGUGGUGAGUUGGUACUGCAGCUGCUCCAGAACAG